GACAGAGGUGCCAAGCGUUAGGCGGAAUCACUGGGCUUAAAGCGUGUGUAGGCGGGUUUGUAAGUACCUUGUGAAAUCCCAUGGCUCAACCAUGGAACUGCUCGGUAUACUGCGAAUCUUGAGCCACUUAGGGGCUACCGGAACAAAUGGUGGAGCGGUGAAAUUCGUAGAUAUGGGGAGGAACACCGGUGGCGAAGGCGGCCACCUGGACGGUAACUGACGCUGAGACGCGAAAGCGUGGGUAGCAAACAGG
rnacentral:rRNA from 1 species